UGCCAGCAGCCGCGGUAAUACGGAGGGUGCAAGCGUUGUCCGGAUUCACUGGGUGUAAAGGGUGUGUAGGUGGAGCAGCAAGUCAGUGGUGAAAGCCUGCGGCUUAACCGCAGAACUGCCAUUGAUACUGCUGUUCUUGAGUACUGGAGAGGCUACUAGAAUUCGUGGUGUAGCGGUGAAAUGCGUAGAUAUCACGAGGAAUACCAGAGGCGUAGGCGGGUAGCUGGACAGAUACUGACACUGAGGCACGAAAGCGUGGGGAGCAAACAGGAUUAGAUA
rnacentral:rRNA from 1 species